UACGAAGGGGGCUAGCGUUGCUCGGAAUUACUGGGCGUAAAGGGCGCGUAGGCGGUCAGACCAAGUCGAGUGUGAAAUUCCAGGGCUUAACUCUGGCGCGCUCGCUCGAUACUGGUCGGCUAGAGUGUGGAAGAGGAUGCUGGAAUUCCCGGUGUAGCGGUGAAAUGCGUAGAUAUCUGAAGGAACAUCAGUGGCGAAAGCGACUUCCUGGACCAAUACUGACGCUCAUGUGCGAAAGCGUGGGGAGCAAACAGG
rnacentral:rRNA from 1 species